rnacentral:rRNA from 1 species
GGUGAACGCUGGCGGUAGGCCUAACACAUGCAAGUCGAACGGCAGCACAGAGGAGCUUGCUCCUUGGGUGGCGAGUGGCGGACGGGUGAGGAAUACAUCGGAAUCUACUCUGUCGUGGGGGAUAACGUAGGGAAACUUACGCUAAUACCGCAUACGACCUACGGGUGAAAGCAGGGGACCUUAGGGCCUUGCGCGAUUGAAUGAGCCGAUGUCGGAUUAGCUAGUUGGCGGGGUAAAGGCCCACAAAGGCGACGAUCCGUAGCUGGUCUGAGAGGAUGAUCAGCCACACUGGAACUGAGACACGGUCCAGACUCCUACGGGAGGCAGCAGUGGGGAAUAUUGGACAAUGGGCGCAAGCCUGAUCCAGCCAUACCGCGUGGGUGAAGAAGGCCUUCGGGUUGCAAAGCCCUUUUGUUGGGAAAGAAAUCCAGCUGGCUAAUACCCGGUUGGGAUGACGGUACCCAAAGAAUAAGCACCGGCUAACUUCGUGCCAGCCGCCGCCGUAA